rnacentral:rRNA from 1 species
AUUGAACGCUGGCGGCAGGCCUAACACAUGCAAGUCGAACGCGUGGCGGACGGGUGUGUAAUGUCUGGGAAACUGCCUGAUGGAGGGGGAUAACUACUGGAAACGGUAGCUAAUACCGCAACCCCUCAUAUGUCCCCAGAUGGGAUUAGAUUGUUGGUGGGGUAACGGCUCACCAAGGCGACGACCCCUAGCUGUUCUGAGAGGAAGACCAGCCACACUGGAACUGAGACACGGUCCAGAAUCCUACGGGAGGCAGCAGUGGGGAAUAUUGCACAAUGGGCGCAAGCCUGAUGCAGCCAUGCCGCGUGUAUGAAGAAGGCCUUCGGGUUGUAAAGUACUUUCAGCGGGGAGGCGUUACCCGCAGAAGAAGCACCGGCUAACUCCGUGCCAGCAGCCGCGGUAAUAC